AUGCCUGAUCAGAACAUGUAUCUUCUCGCUUAAUCCACAACAGAUGCUAAUGAUAUCAUGGAUGGUCACGCGGGAUCUUCACUGAUCACCAUUUUUUAGAUGAAAAUGCCAAUCGAGAUAGCUUUGGGUUGGAAUAUCACACAGGGGCUUGGCUGUAGUCAGGGUCGCCCUGCACCCAGAGAAACGACGUGUCAGUUCAGCUCCAUCAUAUGCCAGGCUGCCUGAAAACCUCUCU